ACUUUUCCUCAUUGGGGUGUUUCCUUAUGGUGUGGAUCUAGGCAGGACUGAGUCGUGAGGAACAGCUACCGACAUCACUUUGUUGUUGUUGAAGAAGUGAACAAAUCCCACAGGUAAAGCUAGUCCUAAAUGGAGGCAUUUCAUUG
rnacentral:lncRNA from 12 species